UACAGAGGGUGCAAGCGUUAAUCGGAAUUACUGGGCGUAAAGCGUGCGUAGGUGGUUUACUAAGUCGGAUGUGCAAUCCCUGGGCUCAACCCAGGAACUGCAUCCGAGACUGGAAGGCUAGAGUACUGGAGAGGGUGGUGGAAUUCCUCGUGUAGCGGUGAAAUGCGUAGAGAUGAGGAGGAACACCAGUGGCGAAGGCGGCCACCUGGACAGUAACUGACGCUCAUGCACGAAAGCGUGGGUAGCAAACAGG
rnacentral:rRNA from 1 species